rnacentral:lncRNA from 1 species
GUGCAUUUUUAAAUACCGGCUAAUCAAUUGUGCUGUGUUAGGUAAGAUAUGUUUUUAUCUACUGAUUCAAUCUAAAUUUCUAUUUUUGACAAAGAAAAACAUAUUUCUGACUAUAGAAAGAAAGUCAUUUCAUAUAUGGCUGAGCUACUACAAUUAAAGUCAACUCAUAGUGAUCAUUAAAGCUUAUUGAACUUAUAAUGCAACAAGCAAUAUUCUAAGCACUUUUUAAUGUUUGUUCACAUAGUGAGGGAAGGUGUUCUCUUUCCGGGUCCACAGGGGGCGUAGUUUUAAGGACAAGAAGUUACUAGCGCCAUGCCCCCCUUCCCAUCUGUCUCAAUCUGGGAGAUUUAACGGUUUAUGUUUAAACUUGCAGGCACGAGAAGAAACUAAGUCAAUCACUCCAGCAGAAGUUCUAGGGAACUCGUUUCGUUGGCCUAGGGUCUUAGAAGGUGAGGGUUCCUACCAGGUUAAAGUCCCCUUCUUCCACACCCCUUUGGACUCCAUGUUUGGGUCCCCUUCCACGGACACUCCUUUGGUGGAAGCCAUCUUUCUCUCUCCUGUUUCUCUCGCUCUCUCUCUCUCUCUCUCUCUCUCUAAAUAAAUCACUUUCUACAAACACUUUUGAGUCCGUGGUCUCCUCUCAUUCUUGAGAGGGCAGGACACCAAGAACCUGGAGAAAUGUCCUCUCAGGGGAGCUGAGGACACUCUGAACCCCAAUAUUACAAUAGUAGUCAAAAGAAGCCAAAGGUAAGAACUAUUAUUAACUCCUGUUUGAAAAGAAAAUGCUGAGGCACAAGUUAGCCAAGCAAUUUACUCAACAUAUUAAAGCCAAGAUUGUGACCUGGGAAGUCAGGCCCCAGAAUCUGGGCUCUGAGCACUGCACUGGAUAGCCCCACUAACUAAUAAGGAAAUUCAUAGAGAUUUAAAUGUUACUGACACAUGCUCAUCCCCCUUUAAUAGCCGCAUUCUAGAAGCACUUCUAAAAUAAGUAACUGUGGUAGUUUAAAUAUAUGUACACAAAUUAUUCUUUUUUUUUUUUUUUUUUUUGAGAGAGAGUUUCGCUCUUGUUACCCAGGCUGGAGUGCAAUGGCGCGAUCUCGGCUCACUGCAACCUCCACCUCCUGGGUUCAGGCAAUUCUCCUGCCUCAGCCUCCUGAGUAGCUGGGAUUACAGGCACGUGCC